CAGUCGCCGCGGUAAUACGAAGGGGGCUAGCGUUGCUCGGAAUUACUGGGCGUAAAGGGAGCGUAGGCGGAUCGUUUAGUCAGGGGUGAAAUCCCGGGGCUCAACCUCGGAACUGCCUUUGAUACUGGCGAUCUUGAGUAUGGGAGAGGUGUGUGGAACUCCGAGUGUAGAGGUGAAAUUCGUAGAUAUUCGGAAGAACACCAGUGGCGAAGGCGACACACUGGCCCAUUACUGACGCUGAGGCUCGAAAGCGUGGGGAGCAAACAGGAUUAGAUACCCCCGUAGUCCCUGUCUCUUAUAC
rnacentral:rRNA from 1 species